CUCCUUUUCCCACCUCCCCCAUUUUUGGAAAACACAGUAAAGUUUUGUUCAGUUCUCAAGUGUUAUUAAUCACUGGCGGAGGCCAAAAGCAGGGAUAUUUUUCUUGGCAGAACGUUUUGAUAAACAAUCUGUGUAUGGGGUGAAGGGAGGGGGGCUGUCUUGCUGGUAACUAAGCUAAUGUUUGGCAGAUUCUUAGCUGUCACGAAAGUGCAAGUGGCUCUCAGUGGGAAUGGCUUGAAAAAAAUGUACCGAUUCAGUUGAUUCAUUAUUGUUGAUUGUUUACUACGUCCACAGGAUGUAAGAUGAAAACAAUCCAGGGACAAAGCAAAAAUAACAACAGUGGAGAGGACCCAGUCUCUACGUAUCCGAGCAUAAAAUGCGCUACCCAGUGCUGAGUCCCUUGCAGAGUUAGCAGAAUUCAUUAUAGGCGUCUUUAUUUUGCACUGUAAGAUUUGGCAAAGGUUAGUUAACGUAUGGAAAUCUGGGCUUGCAGAUGGGUUUAAAAACCAUCAAGUCAGCUGUAUGAAAAUCCAUUUGGGCUGGGUCUCACACCGUAACCACUUUCCAGAGCAAAAAUGGGACGUUUGGGUGGCGUGGGGCCACAAAGCUGCCUGGGUGUAGGUGGCAUCAGGGGCUGGCGCAGAGCGGGGCAGCUGCGGGUGCUGUGAGCGGCACGGGGAGCAGAAAUGUGGAAAAGCACCACCAAACUGGGCAGCACUUUGGGCAGCGGCUGUUCGGACACGUUUGAGUGCUGCAGGCCAGAGAGAAAGAAAAAAACAGGAAGGAUGAAAGGAAGGAAGGAGGGAGAAAGGGAGGGAGGAGGGAAGCAGUAGGCUCUGUGUAUGUCAACAAGGCUUGCUACCUGAAGGAUGGUAGGAAAAUACAGAAUUAUAAUGAGAUGAGAACUGAAAUGAUAAACAGAAACAUGUAAUUACACUCCCGUUCUUUGUAACCAGGUGUUUUGACACUUUGUGGCAGCUUCUAGUAGAAGACAAUGUUGUUCAACUUUGAAUUUGACAAAAUUCUGCAACUUCUACCUGAAGUGUUGGUGUUUUGAUUUGCUGAACGCGUUCCCUUUACCUGCAAGCACUCCGUUCAUUGCUAAUCUCUACACGUUUUGGAAGCCGGUAAUUUGAUUGUGACGGAUUUUAUUUUAUUUGCCAUACUGAGGUAAAUCCACGUAAAUCACACUCUGGGGAGCGCUCUUUCCUUCUGGCCCCUUUAUUUUUUCCAGCUGUAGCCUCUGCUCUGACCACAGAGGGCAGAGCCCUUUCUGCGGCUGAGCGCCUCCAUCCCGAGCAGCUGCUGCAACUGCCACACCACGCAGUGCCACAGCUCUGCACCGCGAGCACCAAAGAGUUAAGCACGUUCCCAGGCUGGGAGCAUUUAGAGCAUUCUUUCCCAGACUGCCGAGAUCAUGGGCUCCUAAUUAUUGCUGCUUGCAAACGCUAGGGCUGUCCUAUAUUCCGCAUAAUUAACAUUGGACUGCUGAUCAAUAAUCAGCAAUAUUCCAGUGCCAAAAUCAAUAGCGAUCCCAGUGCUUUGGUGGCACAAGAGUAGAGCCUGGCAGACGUGAGGCUCAGGCAGGCACGUGGAAUGUGUCCCUUCUUCCUUCAUGGUGCAGUGCACCCUCUACUUCCUAGCAGCUGCAUUAAGAAAGGUGCUGGCCAGUCUGCACACCUCGUCUUUCUUACAAUCGCUUUGAUUCCUUCAUUCAAAUCCAAGGCUCACUUGCUGUUUUGGCGUUACGCAGAUGUGCGUGCGUGUGUGGUAUGGAAUACAGCAGGUUAGGGGAAUAAAGGGAAAAGGAUUCUUGGAUGGCAGCGUUUAUCCUAGCCUGAAAGGAAGGAGUUAGACGUUACUUCUGGCAGUGAGAACUGUGUUCCUGUCCACGGGGACUGCUGAUGGGCUGGGAGCGACGGGCAAUGUGCAGAGUCCCAGCGCUGCACCCAAAGUGCUGACUCGCAUUUCUGUGCAAAAAGCAAUUGCGGAGCGGUUGUUCACAACUGCCGCUCGGUCUCUCCUGGUGCUCCCCUCCCUUUUAUUAAACACAUCGCUGUCCUUUUCCCCCUUACGCUGUUUUUUGUUUGCUUGCGUCUUUUUUUUCAUUGAGCCACAUCGGGCACCUGAAUGGCUUCAUUGUUCGGCCUUCCUCUUUUCCUCCUCCAAACGCAAUUUUAAUUCCUGGAUUAUUUCAGAGCUAAACAAACACCGGCCACGUUCAGCACAAAGCCCUCCAGGCCCGUGCGGCUGCCCCGGGCCCACCGCCAGCGCUGCAGGGUGCGGAGGGCACCAGAUGAGAUCGAUCCUGACAACUCGUUCUCCGUGAAGGUGCCACGGUGUGCCAUUUAUUUGCAUUUACAUUGCGGCUCUCUUCAUCAAUCAGCUUUCAGAGAUCGCCACCGCUGCUGGCCAUAUUGUUGCUGCGCCGACACUUCAUCUUUAAGUGCCACUUGCGUAAUGGUACGGUGCGUGCCCAUGACCAAAGUUUAAAUCGGGGUUUAAUCAUUACGGAAAAACAAACAUAUUUGCAGGACUGCGUAUCCCGCAAGUAAAAGUAAAGGCAGUUUGCUCGGGUCACAGAUGCUAAUCUCCGCUCUUUUUCUGUUCACGAACUAUAGAGGGAGUUGACAGCACCUGCAAAUGGUUUUCUGAGGCGAGAUUACAUCUAAGGCGAUUAUUAUUUACACCCCCAUAAAGGCAGCGGGGAGGGCGGGCUGCUCUUCGGAGCCGGGCGCCGCCAAAUAAGGGCCCUUUUGCAGGGUUCGGGGGAGCGGGGGCGGCUCCGCGCGGCGGGGCCCCGGUGCCGGCGAGGCCCUACGAGGCGCCGGGCCGCAGCUCCGCGCGGCGAGGGGAGAGCCGCGGCUCCGGCGACCUCCGCGUUCUAAGCGGGCCCGACCUCUUCCCGCCGCUCCUCUCCGCUUCUCGUGCGAAGAUCGGCGCGGGGCGGGAGGAGGACAGGGCUCUCGACCUUGCGAGAGCUGCGGCGAGCGGAGGUGACCCUUUCGGUCAGGUGAAGGCGCGCGGGCGAGCGAGCCCGGCAGCUGGCCCCGAGCCCCCCGGCCGGGAGCGCGUCCUGCCCGUGUGCGGGGCGCUGCGGGAUCGCUGCGUUAGAACGGAGCUCCUCGCGGAACGCUAUCUGCGCCGCCAGCUCGGCGUGCGCGCCGUAUUAAGCUUCUCCUUUACAACAGCUCGUCUCACGCACGUUUCAAAUUCGUUUGCCGGCUUCGUAGAUUAUAACCGGACGCAUACAAAACGCUUUAGAUAACUAAAAAUGGAAAUGAGACGCAGUGGCGAUACGAAAGGAAUUAUUUAAAGGAACAACUUUUCGUCACGUGAGUCGUGGAACGUUAUUAGCCGGGCACGAGGCAGCUUUGUGCUCGGUGCUCAGGCGCCAGUAAGCGGCCGCGCGUACGCGAGUGUGCGCUCGCACGCGUUUGUGUCCGGCUGUCCGCGCCCGCCCCGCCCGCUGCGCUGCGCUGCGCUGCGCAGCCCCACAAAG
ensembl:lncRNA